rnacentral:rRNA from 1 species
UACGUAGGUGGCAAGCGUUAUCCGGAAUUAUUGGGCGUAAAGAGCGCGCAGGUGGUUGAUUAAGUCUGAUGUGAAAGCCCACGGCUUAACCGUGGAGGGUCAUUGGAAACUGGUCGACUUGAGUGCAGAAGAGGGAAGUGGAAUUCCUAGUGUAGCGGUGAAAUGCGUAGAUAUUAGGAGGAACACCAGUUGCGAAGGCGGCUCUCUGGACUGUAACUGACACUGAGGCACGAAAGCGUGGGGAGCAAACAGGAUUAGAUACCCGGGUAGU